CCGGCGCACGGGUGAGUAACACGUAUGCAAUCUACCUUCUACAGAGGGAUAGCCCGUUGAAAGACGGAUUAAUACCUCAUAAUACAGGGGCUCCGCAUGGAGAUAUUUGUUAAAGAAGCAAUUCGGUAGAAGAUGAGCAUGCGCUCCAUUAGGUAGUUGGUGAGGUAACGGCUCACCAAGCCGACGAUGGAUAGGGGAACUGAGAGGUUUAUCCCCCACACUGGUACUGAGACACGGACCAG
rnacentral:rRNA from 1 species